AACGAACGCUGGCGGCAGGCUUCAUACAUGCAAGUCGAGCGGUAAGGGCUCCGCAAGGGGCCCCUAGAGCGGCGAACGGGUGAGUAACAGGUGGAUAAUCUGCCUUUUGGUAGGGGACAACGGCUGGAAACGGCCGCUAAUACCGUAUGUGGUUGUUGUAACCAUGGUUACGACAAAGAAAGAGGCUGCAAGGCCUCGCCAAGAGAUGAGUCCGCCCCCCAUUAGCUAGUUGGCGGGAUAAUAGCCCACCAAGGCUUCGAUGGGUAGCCGAGCUGAGAGGUUGAUCGGCCACACUGGAACUGAGACACGGUCCAGACACCUACGGGAGGCUG
rnacentral:rRNA from 1 species